CUUUAGGAAAAAAAAAAGACUGCACUUUCCAAAGAUUGUAGUGCAGCAAUAUAUGAGCGCCUAGGAUGAAGGGAACAAUGCCUUCAUCACAAAUGGUAUGAUCUCAAUAUUCCUCUAAUCUCUAAUUCCAUUAAAUAUCUAUACGAGGAAAAAGACUUCCAAUUUCUGGCAUGUCUAAUUGUCCAAGUAGAGCAUCUAUACCCUUUUUUUAGAGGAACAUCUAUACUCAAUACAAUGAUACCUGAUAUUUGAGUUUUGCAAAUUCCUUGAUGUCAGACCAUACAG
rnacentral:lncRNA from 1 species